AUUGAACGCUGGCGGCAGGCCUAACACAUGCAAGUCGAACGAGUGGCGGACGGGUGAGUAAUUUCUGGGAAACUGCCCGAUGGAGGGGGAUAACUACUGGAAACGGUAGCUAAUACCGCAUACCCUCGGAUGUGCCCAGAUGGGAUUAGCUAGUAGGUGGGGUAACGGCUCACCUAGGCGACGAUCCCUAGCUGGUCUGAGAGGAUGACCAGCCGCACUGGAACUUGGACACGGUCCAGACUCCGACGGUGGGCAGCAGUGGGAAAUAUUGCACAAUGGGCGCAAGCCGGAUGCAGCCAUGCCGCGUGUAUGAAGAAGGCCUUCGGGUUGUAAAGUACUGUCAGCGAGGAGGCGUUACUCGCAGAAGAAGCACCGGCUAACUCCGGGACAGCAGCCGCGGUAAUAC
rnacentral:rRNA from 1 species